AAUUUUCAGACAUCUGUUAUGAGAAAAUGAUCUGAGGUAUUCAGCUCUGUUUUAGCUUCAUCCGUCUCUGUUGAUUUUAACUGACACGUAAUGUCCACUGUUCAGAGCUGGACUGGCGAUGCUAUUGAUGUAGCUCUAGCUGCAGAUUUUGAAGGCAGUUUAUCUUGUUUGGGUAUUGAAUUAGGAACAGAAAAUUAUGAUAUGAGUGCACCAUUACAUUCUCUCAUUCAAAGUGUUUCAACUGCAGAUAUUCCUGCACCCCAAAAAUGA